GCUCAGGGCACAGAAGCCACGAUCCAAGCCAUCAACGGUGGACACACAGAUGGCUGACUGGUGCAGCCAAGGGACCCGUUACCUCUCGGCCAAGGCCGCCUGACCGUGGGGCCCCGGGAGUCCGUGUGCACACAGGGGCCCAGACCCCGGGCCUGCCUGCCGGGCCCACCUUUGAGUAGGUCCACGGUGCGCAGCUCGAAGGGGAUGUCGUUCUUCUUGGCGAAGAUGUAGACGGCGCGGCAAGGCUGGGACAGCAAGUCCAGGGCCAAACCCCUCCAACUACAACCCUGGAGCUCCUGAAGUCUGUGGCUAUGAUGCCCUCAUUCUCUAAGCAAGCGUCCUGGAUAAAAAACCC